rnacentral:rRNA from 1 species
AACGUAGGAGACAAACGUUAUCCGGAGUUACUGGGCGUAAAGGGCGUGUAGGCGGUUUGUUAAGUCUGGCGUGAAAGCUCUCGGCUAAACCGGGAGAGGUCGUUGGAUACUGGCGGACUAGAGGACGGUAGAGGCGUGUGGAAUUCCGGGUGUAGUGGUGAAAUGCGUAGAGAUCCGGAGGAACACCAGUGGCGAAGGCGACACGCUGGGCCGUACCUGACACUGAUACGCGACAGCAUGGGGAGCGAACGGG